rnacentral:rRNA from 1 species
CAGGCCUAACACAUGCAAGUCGAGCGCUUGGGGUGUUCCCUUACGGGAAACCCCCUGGAGCGGCGGACGGGUGAGUAACACGUAGGCAACCUGCCUGUAAGAUCGGGAUAACUACCGGAAACGGUAGCUAAGACCGGAUAGCUGGUUUCUCCGCAUGGGGGAAUCAUGAAACACGGGGCAACCUGUGGCUUACGGAUGGGCCUGCGGCGCAUUAGCUAGUUGGUGGGGUAAUGGCCCACCAAGGCGACGAUGCGUAGCCGACCUGAGAGGGUGAUCGGCCACACUGGGACUGAGACACGGCCCAGACUCCUACGGGAGGCAGCAGUAGGGAAUCUUCCGCAAUGGGCGCAAGCCUGACGGAGCAACGCCGCGUGAGUGAUGAAGGUUUUCGGAUCGUAAAGCUCUGUUGCCAAGGAAGAACGCCUCGGAGAGUAACUGCUCUGAGGGUGACGGUACUUGAGAAGAAAGCCCCGGCUAACUACGUGCCAGCAGCCGCGGCAAUACGUAGGGGGCAAGCGUUGUCCGGAAUUAUUGGGCGUAAAGCGCGCGCAGGCGGUCUUUUAAGUUUGGUGUUUAAGCCCGGGGCUCAACCCCGGUUCGCACUGAAAACUGGGAGACUUGAGUGCAGGAGAGGAAAGCGGAAUUCCACGUGUAGCGGUGAAAUGCGUAGAGAUGUGGAGGAACACCAGUGGCGAAGGCGGCUUUCUGGACUGUAACUGACGCUGAGGCGCGAAAGCGUGGGGAGCAAAC